rnacentral:rRNA from 1 species
GACGAACCGUGCGCACGGUGUUCGGAAUCACUGGGCUUAAAGGGCGCGUAGGCGGAUUGCCAAGUCAGGGGUGAAAUCUCUCAGCUCAACUGGGAAAUUGCUUUUGAUACUGGCAGUCUCGAGUGAGGUAGGGGCAUGUGGAACUCUCGGUGGAGCGGUGAAAUGUGUUGAGAUCGGGAGGAACUCCGGUGGCGAAAGCGACGUGCUGGACCUCAACUGACGCUGAGGCGCGAAAGCUAGGGGAGCAAACAGG